CACAACUUCUGCUGCAGAACUCCCCUGCAGGGUCAGGCUACUGCUGGGACAUUGCAAGAAUCACUCAUCAGCCAAAGGAUGAAGAGUCCUUUUUAUGGUUCAAGGUCAGGCUGCUCCUUUGUUUAGUUUCUUCCUCUUCCCUGUCCCAUGUCUCCCACUCCUAUCUUGGGCUUUCCUGGGAGCGCCUCCUUAAUGAGCGAGUCAUUUGUCCUUUUCACUGUGUUUGCUUUGGGGAUCCCAACACAGGACACCCCUUGGCCUCUUAACCACCAUCCUGUGCUCAUAGCCUCAUGUUCUGUGAGCUGCUCCACACUCCCACAGGGAGCAGAGCUAGAAGCCAAGCCAGUCUCCUCACCUGAAAAAUGGGAAGAGCAAAAUAUCCUACCCUAGAGGGUUGCUGUGAGAGCCGAAAGCGUCUAUCCACGUGAAGCACAUGGGACAGAGCCUGGCACAAAGAAAAUGCUUCCCAGCUCCAUCAGCCCACCGCCCCCUCUGGCCUUCCCUCAAGAGCAGCCACUGGGCCUUGGUUGCCAUGGAGACAGUUUCCCUCAGAGGCUUUGCCUCCCAUCUUCUUUUCUUUUCUUUUCUUUUUUCUUUUUUUUUAAUUUGAGACAAGAUCUCGCUUUGUCACCCGGCCUGGAGUGCAGUAGUGCAAUCACGACUCACUGCAGCCUUGACCACCCAGGCUCAAGCAGUCCUCCCACCUCAGCCUCUCAAGUAGCUGGGACUACAGGCAUGCACCACCAUGCCCAGCACAGGUGGAAGCCGGGAUCUUAGAAGAUUGUUGUAGUAAUCCUGGUGAGAUGAGGUGGUGGCUUGGACCAAGAUGCUCAUGGCCAGUGAUGACAAAUGGGUGGACUCAAGACCUACUUUGAAUGUACAGUCAACAUGCUGCUCACCAGGAAGUGGAGUGCAAGAAAAUGUUGUCAAGAAUGACUCCUAGGCCAGCCACGGUGGCUCGUGACUAUAAUCAGCACUUUGGGAGGCCGAGGCAGGCGGAUCACCUGAGGUCAGGAGUUCAAGACCAGCCUGGCCAAAAUGGUGAAACCCUGUCUCUACUAAAAAUACGAAAGUUUGCUGGGCAUGGUUGCAGGCAACUGUAAUCCCAGCUACUUGGGAGGGUGAGGCAGGAGAACUGCUUGAACCCAGGGGGCAGAGGUUGCAGUGAGCUGAGAUUGUGCCACUGCAGCCUGGGUGACAGAGUGAGACUCCUUUUUUUGUUUUGUUUUGUUUUGUUUGUUUUGUUUUGUUUUGACAGAGUCUUGCUCUGUCGCCAGGCUGGAGUGCAGUGGCACAAUCUCGGUUCACUGCAACCUCCACCCCCUGGGUUCAAGUUGUUCUCCUGCCUCAGCCUCCUGAGUAGCUGGGAUUACAGGCACCUGUUACCAUACCCGGCUAAUUUUUGUAUUUUUAGUAGAGACGGGUUUCACCAUGUUGGCCAGGAUGGUCUCGACCUCUUGACCUCGUGAUCCACCCGCCUUGGCCUCCCAAAGUGCUGGGAUUAUGAGACUCCUUUUAAAAAAAAAAAAAAAGAAAAGAAAGGAAAGGAAAGAAAGAAAAAGAAAGAAAGAAAGAAGGAAGGAAGGAAGGAAGGAAGGAAGGAAGGAAGGAAGGAAG
rnacentral:lncRNA from 1 species